AACGAACGCUGGCGGCAUGCCUAACACAUGCAAGUCGAACGAGAACGCACCUUCGGGUGUUAGUAGAGUGGCGCACGGGUGAGUAACGCGUGGGAACCUGCCAAGCAGUAUGGAAUAACGUUUGGAAACGAACGCUAAUACCGUAUACGCCCCCCUUUGGAGACAUUGGGGGGGAAAGAUUUAUCGCUGUUUGAUGGUCCCGCGUCUGAUUAGCUUGUUGGUAAGGUAACGGCUUACCAAGGCGACGAUCAGUAGCUGGUCUGAGAGGAUGAUCAGCCACACUGGGACUGAGACACGGCCCAGACUCCUACGGGAGGCAGCAGUGGG
rnacentral:rRNA from 1 species